rnacentral:misc_RNA from 1 species
GUAGGGUGUGCCGCCGCCGCGCUCUCCACCAUCACCAUCACUACCACCAUCACCCUGCAUCAGGGGGGAACUACUUUACUACACGCGACCUAACCACACUUCACAAGCAAGCGUGUUGGUGGAGGAGCGGAGGUGGAGGGUGUUGUGAGGGGUGUGGUGCCUGGUGUGGAGCCUGGUGUGGAGCCUGGUGUGGAGCCAGGUGUGUAGGCCAGUCCCGGGAUGACACACCUGCACCCAAGCCUCCGGGUGUCAACCAAGACCGGAUACAUUACCCCAGACACAGGCACCCCCACUCAAGACUACAGAGGCAGUUGAAGAAGGGUUCACAUGGAAACAUUGAGGUGUGAGGAAGUGUGAAUAAUGUUACGGGGAGGUGACGGAGUGUGACGGGCAGUGACGGCGUAGAGGGAGGUGCCGUGUGUAUAAUGUGACACUCCUCACCGCCACCACUCACCCGGGCAGAAGGUGGCACUACACCCGCUUGACCUCCAGACUCACCUGCUGCUGCUCAAGGUACCUGCCCUCCCCCACCCCCUGUCAACGACUUGACAGCGCCACUACAAGUGACCACAGUAACGAGGAGACGAUGUAUGGUGUGUGUUGAGUGGUGUUACAGUGCUACAGUGCCUUACACUUCUCCAGAACAACACCACGCUUAAUACACUCCUCAAAUAUUCCUUUUAUGACCCGCAAGUCACUCCAACCACGGCACUUUAAUGAGAGUGCAACCAAUCAGAACGCUGACGGUAACGUGAGGAAACAAGAUCCACCAAUCAGAGAGAUCCCUCAGAUGUUUCCGAAGACAUGUGGGAAGUGCAGAACUCGCAGGAAUUGCAGGCACCGAUGCUGUCCGGGAGUGAAGAGGAGCCUGGACACCGUCGACCCUUCGAGUUCAUCACCAGCAUCUUCAAGAGGCGCCGAGACCACGACACUUUGGACCACAUCACACCUCCAGACAUUACCCUUCACGGUGCUGGAGACAUUGGCGGCUGGCAGGAGAGUAGCGCUGUGUUGACCCGACAUGACCUCUCCGGUGCGGCUCUGACCCAACAUGACCUCUCCAGAGUGGCGUUGAAACAACAUGACCCCUCUAGAGUGGCGGUAACCCAGCAUGACCCCUCUAGAGGGACGUUGACCCAACAUGACCCCUCUAGAGGGACGUUGACCCAACAUGACCCCUCUAGAGGGACGUUGACCCAACAUGACCCCUCUAGAGUGGCGGUAACCCAGCAUGACCCCUCUAGAGGGACGUUGACCCAACAUGACCCCUCUAGAGUGACGUUGACCCAACAUGACCCCUCUAGAGUGGCGUUGACCCAGCAUGACCCCUCUAGAGGGACGUUGGCCCAACAUGACCCCUCUAGAGUGGCGUUGACCCAGCAUGACCCCUCUAGAGUGGUGUUGGCCCAACUUGACCCUUCUAGAGUGGCGUUGACUCAGCAUGACCCCUCUAGAGUGGCGUUGACCCAACAGGACCCUUCUAUAGUGGCGUUGCCCCAUCAUGAACUCUCCAGAGUGGCGUUGACCCAGCAUGACCCCUCUAGAGGGACGUUGGCCCAACAUGACCCUUCUAUAGUGACAGUGCCCCAUCAUGAAGUCUCCAGAGUGGCGUUGACCCACCAUGACCCCUCUAGAGGGACGUUGGCCCAACAUGACCCUUCUAUAGUGACAGUGCCCCAUCAUGAAGUCUCCAGAGUGGCGUUGACCCACCAUGACCCCUCUAGAGGGACGUUGGCCCAACAUGACCCCUCUAGAGUGGCAGUGCCCUACUAUGAUACUUCCAGGAAGGAAAUGACGUCAUCUCUAGAAGCUUUAACGUCACCAGUGAUGAUGACGUCACCAGAAAUGAUGCCGUCACUGGAGGAAGGAGGAACACCGGUGGCGGGAACCCUCCACCACACACCCGUCAAGUCUCGUGACAUUGGCAUUGACAUGGAAGCCAUUAGACUCUCACGGCAAGACAACCCUUACUUGCAGAGAGUGGCGGACUCCCACACCUCGCUCAACGACGAGGACCCGGCGCCAGGCGUCACUGGCGGCCAGCAUGAGGACCGGGCUCACCUAGUGACGCAGGAGAGCCAGGAGGGGGUGUUGUCGCUGUCUGAGGUGCACCAACACCUCAUCCGCUCCCCGCCGCCCACCUCCCUGCCCAAGACACUGGCCAAGAACCUCUUCGUCUUCCCGACCACCUCCAAGACCCCACCACCCUCUUCCUCACAGGGUGAGGGCAGCAGACGGAGCGGGUCCCUGAAGCCCCUGGUGACCCGCCAGCACGAGGACGUCUUGGACCAUCACCUCCGCCAGAUUCUCCACACACAGCGCCAGCUGGUCGUCUCCCGCCCGCGUCCAGGUGAGGGUGGAACCGCCUGCACUACGAGCACCAGCAUGCCGGGCUCCCCCGCCCACACCCGCACGGCGGCCAGGCGGUCCCCGCACGCCCGCACCCUCUCCGAGGAAGCUACCGUCGUCCAGUCCGUGGGUGGAGGCGCUGGUGCCUGGUCGGGUAACCUGGCGCCUGUCCUUCCACCUGGUAGGAGACAACACUCCUCCUCUAGCGAUCUACUGCUCAACCCCGCUCACCCGCCCACAGCCAGCUCCACGCCCACUCCGCCCGUCCUCAAACCCAUAUCAUCCAAAAGCAAAAGAAGUACAGCUGGUAGCGAGACUGGCCUUGGCACCAAUACCCUUCGGCUUCCCAUCCGCUACCCACACCAGCCGGCCGCCUCUUCAACACUCAUUGACACCACCUGAUUCUUUGCAUGGAGAUGGCUUCCUCUUUCAAAUAUCAUCAUUACGCUUAGUUCAGCACAGCACGAGGAUAUGGUCGUUAAGCACUGUGACGUCACCAAUGACGUUGGGCAAGAAGGUCAGGAGCGGCCGGCGCCGCGUCAGUGUCGGGCUGACAGCCAGCAGACGUGGUUCCUUAGGCGGUGUCCCGCUUCUUACAUCAUUUGCAGCUAUACCGGUCAUCAGGGUCUGGCUCGACAAUGGCCACGAGUCUUCUUGAGAAAUAACUUAGUGAACGGAGGACUAGUCAGUCACACAAGGCACGGAACUAGUUCUGGCGUGACGUAGCUGCAAGUCUCGGUAGAGGUGGUUGGACGGUGUUGAACACGGCGGCUGGCAGCGUUGCAGGAAUAUCUGAAA